rnacentral:rRNA from 1 species
UUGAACGCUGGCGGAAUGCUUUACACAUGCAAGUCGAGCGGCAGCGCGGGGGCAACCCUGGCGGCGAGCGGCGAACGGGUGAGUAAUGUAUCGGAACGUACCCUGUCGUGGGGGAUAACACAGCGAAAGCUGUGCUAAUACCGCAUACGACCUGAGGGUGAAAGCGGGGGAUCGCAAGACCUCGCGCGAUAGGAGCGGCCGAUAUCGGAUUAGCUUGUUGGUGAGGUAAAGGCUCACCAAGGCGACGAUCCGUAGCUGGUCUGAGAGGACGACCAGCCACACUGGAACUGAGACACGGUCCAGACUCCUACGGGAGGCAGCAGUGGGGAAUUUUGGACAAUGGGGGCAACCCUGAUCCAGCCAUUCCGCGUGAGUGAAGAAGGCCUUCGGGUUGUAAAGCUCUUUCAGCAGGAACGAAAACGCAUCGGUGAAUACCCGGUGUGGAUGACGGUACCGUAAGAAGAAGCACCGGCUAACUACGU